AUCACCACGACCACUGCCACCACCCCCAUCACCAUCAAAUGGGCUGCUAAUGUCCCCAUGUGACAAACCUGCUUUGGAAAAAAAAGAAGGAACAACGUGGGAGACGGACCAAAGGAUUUUUUGCAACCAAGAAAAAGAAAGUUCAUCAACAGGUUUUCAGAUCCCACACUGAGAUGGUUCAAGUACCACCACUUGUCGGGUUUUGUGUACUCCGAGGAAGUGAUCUGGAAAGCCUUUUAAAUCCUCUCUCUUCUAGCUACGUAUCUGUGAGGCGCGAGUUUCCUUCAUGUACUUCAAGCAAGCGAUCCACCGCAACAGAUUGACUCUAUUCAACCAGAUGGUAAAGAGAUUGGCAGAAACACGACGAUGCCACCCUUUCGCCGAUUACUUUGAAGUAGCAAACGUGUUCUUUAUACUAACA